rnacentral:lncRNA from 1 species
GAAAUUGGUAAAUUGGACGAUGGACUUUACAGGCUUGUGCAAUCUUCUUCUUUUUCUUCUUUUUCUUCUUCUUAUCUUCAAUCUCAUACUCCUUGUAAAUACCAUUCUCCAUUAGUUGCUGAUUCUGUUUCUUCCUCUCAUUGUACAUACCAUUCUGAAUAAAAUAAAAUGGAGAUGUUAUGGCAUAACAGACUAGGACACAUACCUUUUGUUAGAAUGAAAGACAUUCCUCAUAUUCCAUGCAAGUUUGCA